rnacentral:rRNA from 1 species
GACGAACGCUGGCGGCGUGCCUAAUACAUGCAAGUAGGACGCAGUUGCGAACGGGUUAUUAACGCGUAGGCAACUGCCUAUUAGUGGGUGAUAACUAUUGGAAACGAUACCUAAUACUGCAUACUAGUAGAUUGACCUGCUUUGUAUUGACUAGGAGGUAGGGUAAUGGCCUAACUAGGCAACGAUACAUUGCCGGGCUGAGAGGGAGAUCGGCCAAACUGGGAAUUGAAAACGGCCCAGACUCCUAAGGGAGGGAGCAGUAGGGAAUCUUGGGCCAUGGGGGGAAACCUUAACGAGCAACGCCGCGUGAGUGAAGAAGGUUUUCGGAUCGGAAAGCUCUGUUGUUAAGGAAGCGGUACUUAACCAGAAAGGGACGGCUAACUACGUGCCAGCCGCCGCGGUAAUUC